rnacentral:lncRNA from 1 species
CCACCUUUCCUUAUAAUCCUACUGAAAUCCGAUUGGUUCGGAUACUAGGAACAUGCAUCACUUUAGUCAACACCAACGUUUUUCAGAUGUGAGUUUGAGAAGAACUUUUUCUUUUCCAAGGAAUUGAGUGAUUGUAGAAUCACUAAGAUACACGACUUCUUCUCCUUCAUUGACUUGGGUGUAAGACACAAAAUCUGUUUUAUUUAGCAUUUGAAUCUAUCACACAUUCACUCACAUUGAAUGCAAGUUUUGCUUGGAAAAUGACC